rnacentral:rRNA from 1 species
AACCACAAUGUAUAGGAGGUCCUGCCUGCCCAGUGACUACAAGUUAAACGGCCGCGGUAUUCUGACCGUGCAAAGGUAGCGCAAUCACUUGUCUUUUAAAUGAAGACCCGUAUGAAUGGUAGAACGAGGGCUUAACUGUCUCCCCUCUCAAGUCAAUGAAAUUGAUCUCCCCGUGCAGAAGCGGGCAUAAAAAUACAAGACGAGAAGACCCUUUGGAGCUUAAGAUAUAAGAUCAACUACACCUACAAGUACUGACUUAAGUAGAAACUGAUCCAAAUCUUCGGUUGGGGCGACCACGGGAAAAAAUAAAACUCCCAUGCGGACUGGGUAAUNACCCAAAACUAAGAAAGACAUUUCUAAGUCGCAGAACUUCUGACCACANAGAUCCGGCCACUGCCGAUCAACGGACCAAGUUACCCCAGGGAUAACAGCGCAAUUCUCUUCCAGAGCCCCUAUCGCCAAGAGAGUUUACGACCUCGAUGUUGGAUCAGGAUAUCCUAAUGGUGCA